rnacentral:lncRNA from 1 species
ACAGUGGAGAAGAAGAAGGUGCAGGAGGAGGGAGGAGAAGCUGCCAUGGGUGAGGAGUCAAGAAAACAUGGCCCUGAGGGCUGGCUGAUUGGCGUUAAGAGCAGCCCAGAUAAAACAUAUGCUUUAGAUCCUUUUGGACUUAAUUUGUAUGACAGAAGCCUCUGUUUCUGCGAUUCCAAUUUGGCUGGAACACAGCAAAAGAAUAGACUCAGUGAUCUGAUGAAGUUCAUCUGGGAAGCAGGGGAGUCUGGAUGGGCAGAGACUGAUUUUCUGAGGGUUGCUGUCAGGUGCACCAGUGGAUUUUGAGGUCAGAGGACACUGCUGGGUUUAUUGGGACUGAGUCAUUAAGAAAGCUUCCAUGGUAAUAAGUCAUGUUAGCAGCUACCAUGUGUGUGAUGUCAGAUUCCAAGCCUUGACAUGAGUUUUCCUACAACAGAUGCCUGGCGCCUGGCAGGACUGCAUAGUUGUUGUUGUUGUUGUUUUGUUAUUGGUGUUUAUAUAUGUGUGUACAUAUUCUUGGCAAGGAUGUGGAGGUCAGAAGUCAACGUCAGGUAACUCCCUUAAUAAUCACCCUCUACCUUGUUAGUUAAUUGAUUAAAUAUUUUUUUGAGAUAGGGUCUCCCAAUGAAUCUGGAGGUCAGCAGGUUAGCUAGACUGUCUGGGAAGAAGCCCUAGUGACCCUACUGUCUCCUCCUCCUCCCCCUGUUCUGGAGUCACAGGUACACACCAUUGUGCUUGGCUUUUAUGUGGGCGCUGGGUAUCCAAACCUAGGUUUGGGGUAACCGAUUGAGCUGCCUCUCCUGACCUUAAAGUGAAUAGAUACCUGUCUCACACCAUCAUCAUAUCGAUCAUGUUAACAUAAUUACUCCAAGUUACAGAUGGCAUUUACAUGGAUAAGCACACGGUUCUCCUGCUCUCUGGCUUCAGAUCUGAGUUUCUACAACGAGGAGCCACUUUUUGUCUCUCUAGGCCACAGCAUCCUUAUUCUAUAAAGGGCAUACUGUGUCUAUUGAAGAGCUAUGAUAAAAACACGAGGCAGUGUCAUGGGUCAGCCAUCUACGCUAGCAUCCAGUACAUAGUCGUAGGUGCUUAGAGAACAUUCGUUAGUGGUGUCAUCCAAGAUGUUACAGGAAGUCAGGGACUCCAGAACUCAGAUCUGUUCCAAAGCCUGCAUUUUGAUUUCAUAUACUCUUUACAAAGCACAUGAAACUUUCUUUGACAGACGUCACAUUCUCCUUUCAUGUGUUGGCAUCUGUGUAACAUGUGGUCCAUAUAGGACUGCCUUUGGCCCUGGUUACAGUACAAGUAGUGGGGGAAGAGGUGGCUUGGCUUCUCCAUGGUUCGGAUCCAGUCCUUUUUCUAGAUUUCCUUUGCAGUUAUGAAGUUUGAUGGAGAAAGACCACAUAACAGAAACGGAAAGACUUCUGCUAAGCACCAGGGGCCACCAGCAUCCCCGAUGUCUGCUCUCUGCCAUCUCCCUUCCUUCCUAAUUGUGUUACCUUCCUAGGUCAUUGUGUUCCCAGAGCCUCACUUUCUCCAUCUGCAAAAUGGGUAUGAUAAUGAUGCAUACCUUUAAGAAACAGGGAGGGGAGGGCAGGGGGAAUAAUUAUGCAAAUUAUGUGGUGGCAUCUGCCACGUAGGACAUCCCAUUCCUUUCUCUACGUGAGUCAUUUCAAAUCGAUAAAUCCCACCCAUCCUUCAGUGCCCAGCUCAAAUAACCUCUUAUCACAAACCCCUCUCAGACAUCAAGACAAGAAGUGUGACACCUCCAAGACAGUGUGUGUGCUCCCACUAUGGCUGGCUGAGAGUGACACUCUGAACAGUCACCAACUGCAUGAGUGUUAAGCACACUCCAUGAGAAGGCAGACUUGACACUGAAAGGGAUUAGCUAUUGUAUUGUAGUGUCAGGGGGAGUGUAGAGAAAGUGUCAGGGGAGAGAUAAUUGGCUGACGGGGAAAUGGGAUGAGGCGGCAAAAUAACCUAUUUACCAAUCCGUGUGCAAUCAUUUGACUGUUUUAACAAGCACAGGAAGGAAUGUCGCCCACAGCCACGAUCCUGCUCUAAUUAAACCCACUGCUGGGUCCUUGAAAUGCUCAGUGACCAGGCAAGAGAGCCUCUGGUCACCUUUAACCAACUAGGACCCAGUUCAGAGUCAAGGCCUUCAUUUGCACAGGCAUAUAUGAAAAGAAUUUCCUUCAAUGCUCCUGCUCUUGGCUGUUUUCAAAAGAACAAUGGGAGCAGGGCAGAGGAGACUCUCAGAGCUUAUAGAACUUCCAUUUUCCUUCUCAUUGGCUAAGUCCUGCUCAUAGUUUUCUGAGUUUACCUUCUCUAUCUGCUCCAAUUCUAGUGCCUUUUCCUGUCAGCCAACCUUCUCCCUCAUCUCGGUGUCUGUCCUUUGUCACACUUGACUCUUUCCUAUUGUCACCUCCCCUCAUCUCUGUUCUCUCUUAGCAAGCACAGGCUUUCCUUCCUGUUCAUCAGAUGUCCAGAGCAAAAACGGGUGCCCAACCCUUUAUAGAUAGAUGCUCGGUAGACAUGGAUAGACUUGACAAAAUGGUUGGUAGGUGGUUCAUGCAAAUAGCCCUGCUAUUCUAUCUAAUGGAGAAAGAUCAUGGGACUGGAAUCUUCUCUCAUUUUUGUCUUUGUAUUGGAGAAGACAAAAGAGCCAACCAAGCACAGAGGGAACAUGGAGUCAGAUUUUGGAGUGUAUUUAAUACUUCCGGGAGUCAGAGAACCUCAAAUGGGGUGAUUGCAGCCAUAUUGGAGCUAACUAGUAUUUAUGAUGCAAAGGUAAUCCUGUAGGAAGUAGGAUCAUGACUCUUGUUCCAGUUUACCCAUUGGCUUACCCAAGCAGGAAAGUACACUUUUGUUAUUACUAUGACUUCUGAUAAUGACUCUACCUCUCUUGGUGGCAUCACCAAAAAGCAUUGUAUAGCAUUUGCCUCUCACCAAUUGCAUUCUAAAAUGUUUACUCACAGCUAAUCAUGGUGACACCAUUACAAGCUUUAAACUAGCUCUUACUAGUUGUCUUGUGUUUCAGGAUUUGAGGAAACAGAGACAAAGAGGGGUAAUGUGACAAAGUUCCAUGGCAGGAAUCUAGAAUGUUAUUCAAGUUUUGUUCCUGGACCAAGCACUGGGCUAAAUGAUUGUCUUCUUUGUAUAUAUGUAUAUAUGUAUGCGUGCAUGCAUUUGUGUGUGUGUUUGUGUGGUUGCACAAUCAUAAUGCCCUGUUUUGUUUUGUUUUUUUAACAACCCCACCUUGCCAAAGCCAUCAAUACUCUUUUAUACUUCUCC